CAGCAGCCGCGGUAAUACGAAGGGGGCUAGCGUUGUUCGGAAUUACUGGGCGUAAAGGGCGCGUAGGCGGCCAUUCAAGUCAGGGGUGAAAUCCCAGAGCUCAACUCUGGAACUGCUUUUGAUACUGGGUGUCUUGAGUGUGAUAGAGGUAUGUGGAACUCCGAGUGUAGAGGUGAAAUUCGUAGAUAUUCGGAAGAACACCAGUGGCGAAGGCGACAUACUGGAUCAUUACUGACGCUGAGGCUCGAAAGCGUGGGGAGCAAACAGGAUUAGAUACCCUGUAGUCCCUGUCUCUUAUACC
rnacentral:rRNA from 1 species